rnacentral:misc_RNA from 1 species
GAAAUGUUAUAAAAAUGUUGAUGGGACAAAAUACUUGUCAAUAUGUGUGGCAAUCGGUAUGAUAUGUAUGACUUUGUUUUGCAUGAAAAAUAUAACCUUGUUCCUCUUCAUGUAAAGCUGAAUCUAGAAUGAAACAUGUGCAUUUAAUCAGUACAUAAUUUAAUAUAAUGAUAAUGACAUUACACAGACGUUUCUAAGAGUCUGGUAAUUAGU